AUUGAACGCUGGCGGCAGGCUUAACACAUGCAAGUCGAGCGGGGUGAUGGUGCUUGCACUAUCACUUAGCGGCGGACGGGUGAGUAAUGCUUAGGAAUCUGCCUAUUAGUGGGGGACAACAUCUCGAAAGGGAUGCUAAUACCGCAUACGUCCUACGGGAGAAAGCAGGGGAUCACUUGUGACCUUGCGCUAAUAGAUGAGCCUAAGUCGGAUUAGCUAGUUGGUGGGGUAAAGGCCUACCAAGGCGACGAUCUGUAGCGGGUCUGAGAGGAUGAUCCGCCACACUGGGACGGAGACACGGCCCAGACUCCGAAGGGAGGCAGCAGUGGGGAAUAUUGGACAAUGGGGGGAACCCUGAUCCAGCCAUGCCGCGUGUGUGAAGGAGGCCUUAUGGUUGUAAAGCACUUUAAGCGAGGAGGAGGCUCUUUUGGUUAAUACCCAAGAUGAGUGGACGUUACUCGCAGAAUAAGCACCGGCUAACUCUGUGCCAGCCGCCGCCGUAA
rnacentral:rRNA from 1 species